GGAAACAGGUUUCACUUCAUUAGAAAAUGGCUGAAUGAGUAGCGUUUGCCCGGUCAAAGUAUUCUUGCUUGCAGGUUUUCUGAAUUUUAAGACUUUCCAGGCAUCGGAUUUCCAUGAAUUCGUAUACAGACUCUAUAUGGGAAAAUGACAGUGCUGUGGGAGGGUCCUAAUGAGCCUCCACGUAAGCGUGUGUGUCUAUCUACAAGCAGCAACCGGCGUCGUCCCGUUCCCCUCUCCGCUCCUAGCCAGCAGUUGUCGCUGGCCAAUGCAUCUGAGCAGUGUCAACAAUCACCCUUGAAUUCCGGCGUGAUGAUGAACGGCUACGGUCUGUCGGACACGCUGCACGGACACGGUCACGGUCACGGCCUGAAGAGCUGCACGGCGACGUCGCCGGACGACGGUGGUGGUGGGGGGAGUGGAGGUGGCGGCGCAUGCGCAGACAGCAGUCCGAUUGCGACCCUAUGCAACCUGGGCAACACCUGCUUCCUCAAUAGUGUGCUCUACACGCUGCGAUUUGCACCCUCCUUCCUGCACAACCUGCACCAUCUCGCCGAGGAUCUCAAGCACUACAGCGGUCGUCACUCGCAGUUCAAGACAAAGUCUUCUUCACUGGGACGAGGCAUGGGAAGCACAAGUAAAAUGUGGAACAGCAGUAAGGACCUGCCGUCCCUUGGCGACAGUGCAAAUGCCAAGAUCCAGCUGGCCACAGAGAGGCUGCAUGACCUGUACGAGUCGUUGCAUAACACUGAGCUCAAAGAUCACAUGGAAGCAUUCCAGCCUGAGGUCUUCCUCCACGCUUUGAGGGACGUGAACCCGAUCUUCGAGGGCAACCAACAGCACGACGCUCACGAGCUGCUAGUCUGUCUGCUGGACAACAUCCGCGAGACAUGCCGACAGCUGAGCGAGUUGGUGGAGGGCAGUCUGGCCAACGGAGGGGCCAAAGGGGGGGCCGACCUGCCUCCUCUGCCCCUCCUGCCCCCGCCUCCCCCGCCAAAGCCAACCACCCUCAUCUGGUCCUCGUUUCGCAAGUCGGUCAAAAGCAACAAGCAGCGACAGACCAAGCUCAACACCUAUUCCAAGGACAAGAAAACUAACAAUGAAAUGAACAAUCUGCUGAACGGCGGCACAGCGGAGAGUAUAGAUAGCAACGGCGUGGGUGGGGCUGCAGCUGACGGCUCGGGGGCGGAGGACAGGCCUGACGGAGGCGGCAAGUCGGCCUCCACGGCCCCCGGCCACAACUUCAUAGCUGAGGACUUUGAGGGCGUCACCCUUCUACGCACCACCUGUGUCGAGUGCGAAAUGGUCACCGAACGCAAGGAGACCUUCUGUGAUAUUUGUGUGCCCAUCGCCAGCACCAAUACGUCGCUCACCAAUAACAACCAGGGCGCACUAAGCGAACAAAAAAUCAAUGAAUUGUACAGAGAAGCCGUAGUUACAGAAGAAUAUUUACACGAAACAAAUAAAUAUUGGUGUGAAACUUGUUUACGGUAUAACGAGGCAAAAAGGUCUGUGCGAUAUGAAUCACUGCCCAGGCUUCUAACUCUGCAGCUGAAAAGGUUUUCGUCUAGUUUUGGCUCUGUGAGCUCUGUUAUAUCAAAAGUGAUCGACUUCAUGCCGACUCCAUUAAAUCUUUCCUGCUUCUGUGAAGAAUGCUCUCAUCAACCAGAUAAUCAAAGAAAACACAGGUACCAACUGUUUGGUGUGAUAAUGCACCUGGGCGCCACGAUGGCGUCGGGUCACUAUGUGGCGUACGUGAGGGGUGGAAGAGAGUGCGGGGGGGAGUACGAACACUGCACGCGUGGCAAGCGGAAGACGGCCAGCCUCAGUGGUGCCAACAGCAAGCACUCCAGCAACAGCUCUGAGAAGGCAGGCGGUCUCAUGAGGCUCUUGAAGAUCAAAUCGAACAGCGGCAGCGCGGCGACUAACGGCAAUAGCGCGGCGGGAAACCAGCAGUCGUUCUACCAGUCGUGUCGCAGCGCCGACUGUUGCGGCCUGCGUAUGAGGGGUGCCGACGGCAACGACACGACACGACACGACUGCGAUACCUCGUCCUGGCUCGAAUGCGACGACGACUCUGUCCGCUCCGUGUCGCGAGCUCAGAUGGAGGAGAUUCUCACCGGAAACAAGAGCUCUAAGAACUCGGCCCUCACGCCCUAUCUGCUCUUCUAUGUGCGAUCCAACCAGUAAAUCAACAUUGUCUUUAAUCAACCGUCUCUGAUAAAAUUUGUUGAAUAAGAAUUGAUAUUGUGGAAUUUCUCCAUAAUUGGAAAAACACUGUUUUUUUGACACAUCCACAAAUAUUAGAUUUGUACACAGGACUGUAGCUUCGUGUUGAAACCAACACAUCUUCAGCUGUAGUUUGUACACAGGACUGCAGUUCCGUUUUGAAACCAGUUGAUUGAAUCUAGUUAGUUUCAACUCGAAACUAUCAGGUACACAGGACUGCAGUUUCGUGUUGAAACCAACUAGAUCCAACCAACUGGUUUCAACACGGAACUGCAUUCCUGUGUACAAAUCUAAUAGACGUGGAUGUGACAUGAAUAAAACUGGGUUUUUCAACCACAUAUUUUUCUGACACAUAUUUGUAACAGUGCAUUCUUAACUGUGAUUUGAUGGGAAAAAUCGUAUGCCUGAUUUCUAGGUCACUUAUUAAAUCUAAUAAACCAUUAUACCUAUAAAUUCUAUAUAGAUUAUAUAGUCUGUUAGUUUCAAUAAGUGUCCUUCAUUUUAUUAAAUCUAAUUGACCAUUAAACCUUUAUAUUUUGUUAUAAUUUGAAAAUCAAUUCAUUUUCAACAGUGGUUUAAAAAUUAUUGACAAAGUUAUUAUAGGUACAAACUAUUAUACCGUUCACUGUGAUUUGAUUUAUUUUUUACAAUCAACUGAUUUUAACGAAAUUUAAGUAAAUUCUCUUUUAAUAGCUCGAUGAAACCAGUAAAUAACAUCUAAAUUAUUUUGUUUGAAACAACGCAGUGUUACUAAUAGUUUACACCGUCUGAUCUUCUACUUCUAAUACAAGCGCUAACAUAUAUAUCUCUUGUAAAUAAUUUUGUAUUGUUCAAAUCAUCUUUGCAUUGCUAGCUAUGAUUUGAUGAAAAUUGUAAUCUGAUAACUUGAAGUAAGUUCUCUUCUACGCUCAAUUGUGAACCACUAAAUUAAUUCAUUCCAUUUUAACAUUUGAAUCUCCCAUUAAUUCAUGCUUGCUAUAUUUUUAUGUGAUUGGAUAAUUCGACAUUUCGAAAAACAUCUUGUAAUGAACUUAUUUUUUAUUCAGUGAAACAAAUUAAUCACACAAUUAUUGUUCAUUGUUCUUAUGUUCAUUUCACCUUUGUUCACUAUCGACAACUAAGUGUGAUUUGAAAAUUUUAUAUCCUCGAACAAUCCAAAAGAAUUGAAAUUUUUCUAGAUCAAUAGUUCAUUACUAGACCCACAUCUUUUUCUUAAUUAAAUUAGUUUCAUUAUUUCUAGUAUUUUAAUUUUAAUUAAUGAUUGCGUUAUCUUCAAAUGCAUCUAAAGAAUUUUGCUUAUCGAUAUACAUCUAGUUAUUUUUAUAUUAAUUUACAUGAUAUGGUUUUAAAUUAAUUGUUUCAGCUAAUUGUGUGAAAACAUUUUUCAAAUAUCUCCAAUAAUGCAAACUAUUACUUUAUCUCCAAAAUCCAGCUGGCUUGGCAAUUGAAAUCAGUUUUUAAUGAUACUUAGUAAAUACUUUCUAUAAAUAUUUUACCGUACAACAUUCCAAUUCAUUGUUAUCUAUUUUUCCGUUCUAUUUUUUAUAGAUGUUCAAGCAAGUGAUAUUCUAACAUGUAAGAUGUCAAUAAUUAACAUGUGAGAUUUUGUUGGUUCAUUCUCAAUUUGUGUUUUAAUGAACUAUUUUUUUAUUAGUUAAUGCUACGUGAGUAAUGUAAAAUGCUCCUAUUUUUAUUUAUUCUAUUGGAACCCGUGAUGAAAUUCUUAUCUUUUGAUUUAUAUAUAUAUAUUUUUUGAAAAAAUAAAACUGGAUUGGAAAAUCAAUCAAUAUUAUUAGUUUAGAUAACGAUUUUUCAAAAAUUCUCAAUGUUGACUUAGUGGAUAGCCGGUUUCACCAAGCACGGUCAAGACAUUUGAGCAUAAACAUUUUAGAAUGGUCAAAUCAGGCAUGGUUUACAACGAGUGCACUGGAACAUGAUUUCUUUGGCGAUAGUUAUUAUAGAUAAUUUCAGUGCACGUUUGUAAAUCGUACUCGGUUUGACCACUCUCAAAUGUCUUCACCGAGCUUGGACAUCAGUGAGUCUUCAGUCCGAGCUGUCUUGAAAUAAAUAUAAUUUAUUAGUUUACAUAUUUGCAACUGAUAUUACCAAUGUUAGUUUUCAUACUCAUUUAUAAGAUCAAAAACAUGAUGGCUUAGCUUGCUAGGUUAUAUCUUGUUAGGUUAUAUCUGUGCUCAUAUUUGCUCAUAUCCUAAAUGCAUUCUGUCGUCCUUUAUGGAAAAAUAUCACAAACGUAACAUUAUUUAAAAUUAAAAAAACUAACCCCCGAACUUCAUUAAUCAUUGGAUGAAUAGAUGCGAAUAAUUGAUAAAAAUAUAAUGGAAUAAGUCACGAAAAUGGGAAAUAUGUAAGCUUACACAUGUUAAGGCUCUUUGUGUAUGCCAAUGGAUCUAAACAGAUAUAAGUAUAAAUUUUGGUCUUAAAGUUUCCCCAUCCAAUAUAAGAGUAAAUCGAAUCAUUUUGAUUAUAACAGAGAAUUUAUCUUACAAUUUUAUAUAUUUUCUCCACCUAGAUUUGCGUCUUUGUUUCAAUUGAAGAUUUUUUAUUUUAUUGUUGAUUUUAUUAUUAUCUUUAAUAAUUAUUCCUAUUAUUGAAUCAGUUCUAUGAUUUUAGGCUUACUAUAUGAUGCUUUGAGUUUGAGAAUAUUGUCAAUAACGAAUCGGUAGCUAUGAUACCUUACCGGCAUUGAAAAAUAAAUAUUUGUUUAUUGGCUUUUAAGAAACAUGCAUCUACAACAUUGUGAACUAAAGCAUUAUAUGUGUUUUUAAUUGUUGAUUAAUAAAAUUAAACGAUUUUAUGGUUGAACAUAAUUAAUCAUAUCUACUGUCUUGAAAAAUGAUGUUCCAUUUCAAUGAAUUGUGAUCAACAAUACUAAUUGAUCAAUUCUUUAGUAUUCUGACCAUAAUGUGCGGUUGAAUGCUGUGUAUUGAGUACAAAAAAUAACAUAUUUACUCAGUAACUUGAAAUGUUAAACUGCUUGAUUAUCGAACACUUUUAAUAAGUCUUAUCGAUGUCGUAAUACUUUGUACAUUAUAAUUAUUAUAGGGUCAUCCGUUGAAGUUAAACACUGCAAGGAAUUUGAUUAUCCAUUUCCUAGAAAGCUUUAUUUUUUAUAUAUAUUUUAUUAUCUGUGAUAACAAAUUUAAUCGUUCGUGAUUGUAACUGAAAGUAGAAAUAAUAAAUUUAUUUAUUCAGUAUUAAGAUUUUGUUUGUAACAAUUCAUGUCAAUGCUUGGUCAUCAAUACUACUUUAUUAAUUCUAAAAAAUCAAUUUCCUAUGAUGAAGGUGAAAUAAUUUUUUGUCUAUAGAGAAUAAUUUUUGUAUAGUCCAAAUAUGUAUUGUUGGUAACAAGUAGCUUAGAUGAAAAGAAUCUUAUAAUUAGAAAUUAUACAACUUAUUUGAAAGAAAUCUGUAUUCUUCUUAUUAAAGGUAAAGAAUAAUAAAUUAUAUAAACAUAUAUUUAUGAUUAUAAAAAUAAAACAUUGAAGCAUCAGGAAAUUGUCAUUUAAUAGUUUUUUUUCAUUGAAUAACUUAGUCUAUUCGUUCGACAUAUUUAUAAUGGGUUCAACAAGUGAGAAUAUCAUUUUUCUUGUGUUUAUAGGUGAGCUAUGAGAUUACAUUUUUCACAAUGAAAAAACUGCACAAAAAUUGCUAAUAAAAUUAAAUCAAAAUUCUUUUACGAUGACAAUUUCCAGUUGUAUUCAAACAUUAAAUUUUCUCGAAAAAUUCGAGGAAGAUAUUUUUGAAAAUUUGUGAGGAUUAAAAAGUUGAAUUAUAGAUAUCCAUAUUUAUAACUUGUAAGCCUUCAUGCUGAUGUUUGAUAUGAAAUCUGUAAAAGUGAAUGUCACUUUGGUGGUCAGCUAAUUAAGAAAACAAAAUUUUGUUUGAAAUAUUGCAGUUAUCAAUUUGAUUCUAAUAUAUUUCUAUGUACGAGUACGAGGUACUAUGCGUGAUUUAACGUAAUUUGAAACUGUACUUUUGAUAGAUACAGUGUAUGUGUGUAAAUGUAAUAAUUGGUAUAAUUAUUCUGGUUUAAACACAAAUUUCAGCUGAAGUAUCUUCCACAGAAAAUUUGUAUUCACAUUAAUUUUACUGCCAUUUUGUACAAUUAUACAACUGAUUGGUUUGGAGCUUAGAUCUUAAUUGCAGAAAAUUGUUUAUAUUUGUUUGGAUGAAUAGUAUUCUUGUGAUGUAACAGUUUUCUUGGUGAUAUUUUCUGUAAGGAUUUCAAAAUUUCAGCUGACUGUUGUAUAAAUAUUGUGUACAUAGUUGGAGAGAUUCGUAGCGUACUGCUGUGUGUUUAUCUGGAUAGGUACGACAUUACAAGUCAAUUUAUUCUACUCCUUAUAAUAUAAUAAUUAUGUAUAACUUCAAGUGAGAUACAGAAGCAAUAGGAGUCCUGUUUCAGAACCUAACAUAAACAAUAAUAAUUUUAAUAUUAACUUCAGGCGAAAACUGAUACUGGUUUUGAAGUAGGAACAGUUGAAGAAACGAACUAAUAAUGGUGUUAAUUAUUACUAUCUACAACGGGAUCGUGAUUCAUUUCUGUUGUUUCCUAUGAGCUGUCAUUUUGAUAAAUGGUCAUUUUUGCUAGAUGCAAGGUUCGUUUCAAGUUUAUAAUUCGAGAUUAAACUCAACUGAUAAUAUUUCUAAUCAGACAUGUAUAUAUUAGUUACAGAGAUCGUGAUAGUGUUAUGGUCAACUAUUGUAUUUUUUAAAUUUGUGCAGCUGUGUAAAAUUUUGAAAAAUUAUGAAGUGAGUGUCAAAAAUGGUAUCUGGAUGUUGAAUAGUUAUUGAAUCGUGUAAAUACUAUUUUGUAGAGAUUAGAUAAUUACUGAAUUCAUGAUACUGUAAUGAAUGAAGCAUCUUCAUCUUCAUUAAAUGAAGAGUUUAAUUUGCGAUGAAACCAAUGUAACAUACAGAUAAAUUAAAAUGUUAUUUUUAUUAUAUGUUAAUAAAGAUUUAUUUGUUCUAAGGUA
rnacentral:misc_RNA from 1 species